rnacentral:rRNA from 1 species
ACCUCUACGGGAGGCAGCAGUGGGGAAUAUUGCACAAUGGGCGCAAGCCUGAUGCAGCCAUGCCGCGUGUAUGAAGAAGGCCUUCGGGUUGUAAAGUACUUUCAGCAGUGAGGAAGGUAGUGUAGUUAAUAGCGCAUUUAUUUGGUCGUUAGCUGCAGAAGAAGCACCGGCUAACUCCGUGCCAGCAGCCGCGGUAAUACGGAGGGUGCGAGCGUUAAUCGGAAUUACUGGGCGUAAAGCGCAUGCAGGUGGUUUGUUAAGUCAGAUGUGAAAG